UGAACGUGGUAUGGUUGUUCGUGCCAGACGGGCUAGUUUGAGUAUUUCAGAAACUGCCGAUCUACUGGAAUUUUCACGCACAACCAUCUCUAGGAUUUAGAGAGAAUGGUACGAAAAACAGAGAAAAUAUCCAGUGAGCGGCAGUUCUCUGGGCGAAAAUGCCUUGUUGAUGGCAGAGGUCAGGGGAGAAUGGCCAGAGUGGUUCGAGCUAAUAGAAAGGCAACAGUAGGCCUAACUCAAAUAACUACUCGUUACAACCGAGGUAUGCAGAAGAGCAUCUCUGAACGCACAACAAGUCGAACCUCGAAGCAGGUGGGCUACAGCAGCAGAAGCCAACCCGGUACUAGCAAUACCUAAUAAAAUGGCCGAGACGACGGUGAGCAUGUGUGGAGGGAAAUAUCCCACAGUUGGAGUGUUGCGUCUGGUAAAGUGGCAAUAGAUGUUCACCUAGGAGACAAAGAAGAGAAAGUAUUGCUGGAGACGGGGACGACUGGUGGAUAUGCCGCUGCCGUAGCGACGGGCUGCAAUGCGAGGGCUCUCUGGCGGUACCGACGGGGUGACUCAUGAUCUGAUUUGGAGCGGGCGGGCGGGCAGGCGGGCGGGGAGGCGAGCGGGUGAGCUCGGCGCUUUCCUCGCCCCCUGUGCCUGUGAAAGUGCCUACAGCAGUGCUGCGAGACCCCCAUGGCGAGGCCAGACCUGGAGCGGCUGCACUCUCUCACACAUUCUCCCAGAUCUCAGGAGAGCACAGCGCAGCGCUAACCUCUAAUGGCCUAGUAGCACAAGCCUCUCCAGAGAGGAGGGAAAUGACACAGCGGCCUGCUUUGGCCCAAGCACCAACUGACGCCAGUCUGCUUUUUUUCAACACAGUGGUUCAAGCACACACGUUUUCAUUUUACUUAAUACUAUUUCACACUGGCAUAUUCUUUUGCAAUAUUCCAGAAUCACAGGUCAACAGUUAUUUACAGUAGUAAAAUAAAAAAAAUGCACU